rnacentral:rRNA from 1 species
CGCCUUGCCAGCCCGCUCAGAAACUCCAAGGAAGUUGACGGGGGCCCGCACAAGCGGUGGAGCAUGUGGUUUAAUUCGAUGAUACGCGAGGAACCUUACCUGGGCUCAAAUGUAUGUUGACGUAUUCUGAAAGGGAUACUUCUUCGGACAAUAUACAAGGUGCUGCAUGGUUGUCGUCAGCUCGUGCCGUGAGGUGUCGGGUUAAGUCCCAUAACGAGCGCAACCCCUACCUUUAGUUGCCAUCAGGUUAAGCUGGGGACUCUAAAGGAACUGCCUACGCAAGUAGUGAGGAAGGCGGGGAUGACGUCAAAUCAGCACGGCCCUUACGUCCAGGGCUACACACGUGCUACAAUGGCCGAUACAGAGGGCAGCUACCUGGUGACAGGAUGCAAAUCUCCAAAGUCGGUCUCAGUUCGGAUCGGAGUCUGCAACCCGACUCCGUGAAGUUGGAUUCGCUAGUAAUCGCGCAUCAGCCAUGGCGCGGUGAAUACGUUCCCGGGCCUU